GACGAACGCUGGCGGCGUGCUUAACACAUGCAAGUCGAACGAAGUGGCGAACGGGUGAGUAACGCGUAAUCAACCUGCCCUUCAGAGGGGGACAACAGUUGGAAACGACUGCUAAUCCCGCAUACUGAAGGAGGGGAUGGCGUCUGAAUAGCUAGUUGGAGGGGUAACGGCCCACCGAGGCGAUGAUCAGUAGCCGGUCUGAGAAGAUGGACGGCCACAUUGGGACUGGGACACGGCCCAGACUCCUACGGGAGGCAGCAGUGGGGAAUCUUCCGCAAUUGACGAAAGUCUGACGGAGCAACGCCGCGUGAUUGAUGACGGCCUUCGGGUUGUAAAGCUCUGUUAAUCGGGGCGCGGUACCGGAAUAGAAAGCCACGGCUAACUACGUGCCAGCAGCCGCGGUAAUUC
rnacentral:rRNA from 1 species